GUGCUCACUUCAGCAGCACAAAUACUAAGAUUGGAACAAUACAGAGAAGAUUAGUAUGGCCCCUGUGCAAGGAUGACAUGUAAAUUCAUGAAGCAGCCCAUAUUUUU
rnacentral:snRNA from 1 species